CGCUUUCACUCCUACGGGAGGCAGCAGUAGGAAUCUUCCACAAUGGGCGAAAGCCUGAUGCAGCAACGCCGCGUGAACGAUGAAGGCCUUCGGGUUGUAAAGUUCUUUUCUUAGAGAAGAAUCCAUGACGGUAUCUAAGGAAUAAGCCCCGGCUAACUACGUGCCAGCAGCCGCGGUAAUACGUAGGGGCAAGCGUUAUCCGGAAUCACUGGGCGUAAAGGGGAGUGUAGGCGGUCAAGCAAGUCAGAGGUGAAAGGCAUCGGCUCAACCGGUGUAAGCCUUUGAAACUGUUUGACUUGAGUGCAGGAGAGGUAAGUGGAAUUCCUAGUGUAGCGGUGAAAUGCGUAGAUAUUAGGAGGAACACCAGUGGCGAAGGCGACUUACUGGACUGUAACUGACGCUGAGGCUCGAAAGCGUGGGGAGCGAACAGGAUUAGAUACCCUGGUAG
rnacentral:rRNA from 1 species